rnacentral:rRNA from 1 species
UACGUAGGGUGCGAGCGUUAAUCGGAAUUACUGGGCGUAAAGUGUGCGCAGGCGGCUUCGCAAGUCGAGUGUGAAAUCCCCGAGCUUAACUUGGGAAUUGCGCUCGAAACUACGGAGCUGGAGUGUGGCAGAGGAAAGUGGAAUUCCAAGUGUAGCGGUGAAAUGCGUAGAGAUUUGGAGGAACACCAGUGGCGAAGGCGACUUUCUGUCUGUAACUGACACUGAGGCGCGAAAGCGUGGGGAGCGAACGAAGG